rnacentral:lncRNA from 1 species
UUUGAGUGUCAGAGGAGAGGAUUAAGAGUAAAUCGACAAAUUAGAUGAACAAAGUUUCUAUGAAGUGGUCAAGUCAUUCGAAAAAAAAAGAUUGAAAAGUAUAACAAAUACAAGAACUGGGAAAAAAAAAAAGACUUACAACAUAUGGCUGAAGAAAAGUCAAGGCAUGCGUGCUGCACGGCAUCUCAAGUCAAGUCGAGUCAAGUUGAUCUUAUCAAGUUCAGUAAGGAGUCACUUUAUAAAUAAAGUCGACCUUAUCAGCUUCAAGAAUGGCUUCCUUCGAAGAACCCGG